rnacentral:lncRNA from 1 species
CAAAAAUGGAUAGAUUUGUGAAGAUAAAGCAGUCUUGGAGAUCUAACUCUUUAUUUUUUUCUUUCCAGCAUAAUGAUGCCAAAAAGAGCAUUGACAAAUUUUUAGCCUACAAAUUUGAAGAAAGUGAACGUGUACUCAAGUUACAGAAAGAUCAAGAGUUGGAUAAGGAGCGAGAAAGAAGACACAGAGAAAAAAAAGAACAUUCUGUUAGGCCAGGAAAAGAGACACUUUCAAAAGAGAGAAGUCAUAAACAUUACGGAAAAGAAGAGAAAGAAAAACAUAAAUCAAAGAGAUCUAAAGACGAAUCUUCCCAUGAAAGCAGAGAAGGGCAACCAGUAGAAGCUAGUGAGAAAGUAAAAAGUAGAGAAAAUGAAAGAAAGAAGCACAGUCUUGGGAGUAGUGAAUACAAAAAAGAGGAGAGGAUUCAAGAAGAAAAGAGCCAUCAGCAUGUAAGGUAAAUUCAGAGAUUAAAAAUAAAAAUGUACUGUAUGGUAUCCACUAAGAUUCAGUCACUACCAAGACAGUAAGCAUGAAUUCUUGAUCUGAAAUAGCUAGGGUAAAUAGAAUUUUUUUUUUUCAUAGGUGUUUUACCUAGCACAGUAGCAAUUAAAAGAAAAAAAAUCUGUGGUUUGUAAAAGCUUAUGUAUUUAUAUGCUGGUUUUGUU